rnacentral:rRNA from 1 species
AUUGAACGCUGGCGGCAGGCCUAACACAUGCAAGUCGAACGCGUGGCGGACGGGUGAGUACUGUCUGGGACACUGCCCGCUGGAGCGGGAUAACUACUGGACACGGUAGCUAAUCCCGCCUACCAUCGGAUGUUCCCCGAUGGGUUUAGCUAGUUGGUGGGGUAACGGAUCACCUAGGCAACGAUCCCUAGCUGGUCUGAGAGGAUGACCAGCAACACUGGGAAUGAGACACGGCCCAGACUCCGACGGGAGGCAGGAGUGGGGAAUGGUGGACAAGGGGGGAAACCCUGAUCCAGCCAUCCCGCGUGUGCGAUGAAGGCCUUCGGGUUGGAAAGCAAUUUUGGCAGGAAAGCGGUACCUGCAGAAUAAGCACCGGCUAACUACGUGCCAGCAGCCGCGGUAAUAC